rnacentral:rRNA from 1 species
UACAGAGGGGGCAAGCGUUAUUCGGAAUUAUUGGGCGUAAAGGGCGCGUAGGCGGCUUCGCAAGUGACGGGUGAAAGCCCUCGGCUUAACCGAGGAACUGCCUGUCAGACUGUAAGGCUUGAGACCGGGAGAGGUGAGUGGAAUUCCCAGUGUAGCGGUGAAAUGCGUAGAUAUUGGGAGGAACACCAGUGGCGAAGGCGGCUCACUGGACCGGAACUGACGCUGAGGCGCGAAAGCGUGGGGAGCAAACAGG